rnacentral:rRNA from 1 species
AUUUUCCGGUUGAUCCUGCCGGACCGAGAGCGGUCAGAGUGAGAUUAAGCCAUGCGAGUCAACGUAGAAUAUGUGGCACACGGCUCAGUAACACGUAGUCAACAUAACCAAAGGACGUGGAUAAACUCGGGAAACUGAGGCUAAACCGCGAUAGACCAAAAUACCUGGAAUGGUUUUUGAUUAAAAUCUAUAUGGCCUUUGGAUUGGACUGCGACCGAUCAGGCUGUUGGUGAGGUAAUGGCCCACCAAACCUGUAACCGGUACGGGCUCUGAGAGGAGGAGCCCGGAGAUGGGUACUGAGACAAGGACCCAGGCCCUAUGGGGCGCAGCAGGCGCGAAACCUCUGCAAUAGGCGAAAGCCUGACAGGGUUAUUCUGAGUGACUUUCGCUAAGAAAGUCUUUUGACACCUUUAAAAAUGGUGUAGAAUAAGGGGUGGGCAAGUCUGGUGUCAGCCGCCGCGGUAAUACCAGCACCCCGAGUGGUCGGGACGAUUAUUGGGCCUAAAGCAUCCGCAGCCGGUUUUACAAGUCCUCCGUUAAAUCCAACUGCUUAACAGAUGGGCCGCGGAGGAUACUAUAAGACUAGGAGGCAGGAGAGGCAAGCGGUACUCAGUGGGUAGGGGUAAAAUCCGUUGAUCCAUUGAAGACCACCAGUGGCGAAGGCGGCUUGCCAGAAUGCGCUCGACGGUGAGGGAUGAAAGCUGGGGGAGCAAACCGGAUUAGAUACCCGGGUAGUCCCAGCUGUAAACGAUGCUCGGCUGAUCUCAUGGACUAGCUUCAUGCUAGUCCAGUGCCGCAGGGAAGCCGUUAAGUCCGCCGCCUGGGUAGUACGGUCGCAAACCUAAACUUAAAGGAAUUGGCGGGGGAGCACCACAAGGCCUCAUCCUGCGGUUCAAUUGGAUCAACGACCGGAAAU